AGGACGAACGCUGGCGGCGUGCCUAACACAUGCAAGUCGAGCGAGGAGAUCCUUCGGGAUGAUCCUAGCGGCGGACGGGUGAGUAACACGUGGGCAACCUGCCUCAUAGAGAGGAAUAGCCUUCCGAAAGGGAGAUUAAUACCUCAUAACAUUGCAGUUUCGCAUGGAACAGCAAUUAAAGGAGUAAUCCGCUAUGAGAUGGGCCCGCGGCGCAUUAGCUAGUUGGUGAGGUAACGGCUCACCAAGGCGACGAUGCGUAGCCGACCUGAGAGGGUGAUCGGCCACAUUGGGACUGAGACACGGCCCAGACUCCUACGGGAGGCAGCAGGUGGGGAAUAUUGCACAAUGGGGGAAACCCUGAUGCAGCCAACGCCGCGUGAGUGAUGACGGCCUUCGGGUUGUAAAGCUCUGUCUUCAGGGACGAUAAUGACGGUACCUGAGGAGGAAGCCACGGCUAACUACGUGCCAGCAGCAGC
rnacentral:rRNA from 1 species